rnacentral:rRNA from 1 species
UACGGGGGGUGCAAGCGUUGUUCGGAAUUACUGGGCGUAAAGGGCUCGUAGGCGGCCAACUAAGUCAGAUGUGAAAUCCCUCGGCUUAACCGGGGAACUGCGUCUGAUACUGGAUGGCUUGAGUUCGGGAGAGGGAUGCGGAAUUCCAGGUGUAGCGGUGAAAUGCGUAGAUAUCUGGAGGAACACCGGUGGCGAAGGCGGCAUCCUGGACCGACACUGACACUGAGGAGCGAAAGCCAGGGGAGCAAACGGG